GCUGGCGGCACGCCUAACACAUGCAAGUCGAGCGGGAUCUUCGGAUCUAGCGGCGGACGGGUUAGUAACGCGUGGGAACGUACCCAGAUCUACGGAAUAGCCUCGGGAAACUGAGAGUAAUACCGUAUACGCCCUUCGGGGGAAAGAUUUAUCGGAUUUGGAUCGGCCCGCGUAAGAUUAGAUAGUUGGUGGGGUAAUGGCCUACCAAGUCUACGAUCUUUAGCUGGUUUGAGAGGAUGAUCAGCAACACUGGGACUGAGACACGGCCCAGACUCCUACGGGAGGCAGCAGUGGGGAAUCUUAGACAAUGGGCGCAAGCCUGAUCUAGCGAUGCCGCGUGAGUGAUGAAGGCCUUAGGGUCGUAAAGCUCUUUCGCCUGUGAAGAUAAUGACGGUAGCAGGUAAAGAAACCCCGGCUAACUCCGUGCCAGCAGCCGCGGUAAUACGGAGGGGGUUAGCGUUGUUCGGAAUUACUGGGCGUAAAGCGCACGUAGGCGGACUAGUCAGUCAGAGGUGAAAUCCCAGGGCUCAACCCUGGAACUGCCUUUGAUACUGCUAGUCUUGAGUUCGAGAGAGGUAAGUGGAAUUCCGAGUGUAGAGGUGAAAUUCGUAGAUAUUCGGAGGAACACCAGUGGCGAAGGCGGCUUACUGGCUCGAUACUGACGCUGAGGUGCGAAAGUGUGGGGAGCAAACAGGAUUAGAUACCCUGGUAGUCCACACCGUAACGAUGAAUGCCAGACGUCGGUAGCAUGCUAUUUCGUGUCACACCUACGGAUUAAGCAUUCCGCCUGG
rnacentral:rRNA from 1 species